GACGGAGGAUGCAAGCGUUAUCCGGAAUGAUUGGGCGUAAAGCGUCCGCAGGUGGCACCUCAAGUCUGCUGUCAAAGACCGGGGCUUAACCCCAGAAAGGCAGUGGAAACUGAAGCGCUAGAGUGCAGUAGGGGUAGAGGGAAUUCCCGGUGUAGCGGUGAAAUGCGUAGAGAUCGGGAAGAACAUCGGUGGCGAAAGCGCUCUGCUGGACUGCAACUGACACUCAGGGACGAAAGCUAGGGGAGCGAAUGGG
rnacentral:rRNA from 1 species